ACGAACGCUGGCGGCUGCUUAACACAUGCAAGUCGAACGGAGUGGCGAACGGGUGAGUAACGCGUGAGCAACCUGCCUAUGACAGUGGGAUAGCCUCGGGAAACCGGGAUUAAUACCGCAUAGUCAUAGAUGGGCUCGCGUCUGAUUAGCUAGUUGGUGAGAUAACAGCCCACCAAGGCGACGAUCAGUAGCCGGUCUGAGAGGAAGAACGGCCACAUUGGAGCUGGGACACAGUCGAAACUCCUGCGGGAGGGAGCAAUGGGGAAUAUUGCACAAUGGGGGAAACCCUGAUGCAGCGACGCCGCGUGAACGAAGAAGGUAUUCAUAUCGUAAAGUUCUGUCCUAUGGGAAGCAGUACCAUAAAAGAAAGCUCCGGCUAACUACGUGCCAGCAGCCGCGGUAAUUC
rnacentral:rRNA from 1 species